rnacentral:rRNA from 1 species
GACGAACGCUGGCGGCGUGCUUAACACAUGCAAGUCGAACGGAAAGGCUCCAGCUUGCUGGAGUACUCGAGUGGCGAACGGGUGAGUAACACGUGGGUAAUCUGCCCUGCACUCUGGGAUAAGCCUGGGGAACUGGGUCUAAUACUGGAUAUGACCUUUCUCCUUAUGGGGUUUGGUGGAAAGUUUUUCGGUGUAGGAUGAGCCCGCGGCCUAUCAGCUUGUUGGUGGGGUGAUGGCCUACCAAGGCGACGACGGGUAGCCGGCCUGAGAGGGUGAUCGGCCACAUUGGGACUGAGAUACGGCCCAGACUCCUACGGGAGGCAGCAGUGGGGAAUAUUGCACAAUGGGCGGAAGCCUGAUGCAGCGACGCCGCGUGAGGGAUGACGGCCUUCGGGUUGUAAACCUCUUUCAGCAGGGACGAAGCGUAAGUGACGGUACCUGCAGAAGAAGCACCGGCUAACUAUGUG